UCAGGAUGAACGCUGGCGGCGUGCUAACACAUGCAAGUCGAACGAAGCGCCGGACCUUCGGACCGGUGACUGAGUGGCGGACGGGUGAGUAACGCGUGGGUAACCUGCCCUGUACAGGGGGAUAACAGUUAGAAAUGACUGCUAAUACCGCAUAAGCAUACGAGGAGGCAUCUCCUAGUGUGAAAAACUCCGGUGGUACAGGAUGGGCCCGCGUCUGAUUAGCUUGUUGGCAGGGUAAGAGCCUACCAAGGCGACGAUCAGUAGCCGGUCUGAGAGGAUGAACGGCCACAUUGGAACUGAGACACGGUCCAAACUCCUACGGGAGGCAGCAGUGGGGAAUAUUGCACAAUGGGGGAAACCCUGAUGCAGCAACGCCCGCGUGAGUGAUGAAGUAUUUCGGUAUGUAAAGCUCUAUCAGCAGGGAAGAUGAUGACGGUACCUGACUAAGAAGCUCCGGCUAAAUACGUGCCAGCAGCCGC
rnacentral:rRNA from 1 species